CAUAGGCUUGGAGUGUUGCUUAAAAGAAGAAAGAAAUCCUAUCUGCCUUAGAGGACUUAGAAAGCUAGCACAAACCAGAACAAAGCAUCCCGGGAAAUGUGUCAGAGGGCAAGAAGUUGUGAAUCCUCAUAGCAGCGGGCCAUUGCAGGAAUGGAGCUGAGAAGAUACCCAGGGCCCUGAGCACAGCUAGCGUGUGCAGGGCUGAUCAGACCGUGAUUUCUGCCCCACCUCUUCACAGAGCGACUGGGGAGCGCACACUGGAACUUGAACCCAGAAUUAUGCUCCUGCCAUCACUCCCAAGACACCAUCAGAAAGUGGCUUCUAACCUUUGGAGGGGGAGAUUCCGACGGGAUUAAGAGGAUUACCACCAUCACCCAUGCAGAGAAGAGGAGGCUCCUCUUCAGAGCGAGAAGGGUGGCCCCUGAGUGGUUGGCGACAGCCAGAGCUCUGAUGUGGAGAUGUGUGUUUGUGUCUCUGUGACUGUUGCCCUUGGGGAGGCUGCUGGAAAGUCGGUCGGAGAGAAACAGAAUCUUCUCCGUAGAGGCUGAGGGAUGGCAGCUCUGGUCUACACAGGUCCAUGUAUACGUUCCUUCUAUCCACUUGGAUCAUCUGUGGACACUCCCUGUCGUGAUGUAAAUGAGGAAUCCCCUGGGAGCUUGUGUCAGAGAGGUUGCAAACAAAUGGAACACGUAAGUCGUUAAAGGAAGACGGUCCAUCCAGUCUUGUUAUUAUGUUACCUGUGUUGAGAACACACAAACCCUUUGGGCAACAUGUUCAAACUCUAUGAAUCUGCUCUAGAGAAAUAGCCACCGCAGAGUGGAGGGAAUUACAUAGGAGGAAGAUAAUCACAGACCUCUUCAAGAUCUCGAAAAUGGAGAACAUCUCAAAUGUGUACCAGCCAGGGACUCUGUGGGUAACGGCUUGAUGCCAUUUGUAAUAAUGUGCCAUGUAAGUAUUGGAAAGUGAGAAGUUGUUUAAGAAUCAGUGAGCACAUGUUACAGAAGAAGACAGUACAGAGCUGGCUCGUAGGGAUUCUAGUCUGUUCCUUACUGGUCCUGUGGCCUGCCCAAGUGUGGGGAUUAAAGGCAUGAGCCAGCACCAUCAAACUCGGUGUUCUUGUUAAAUGGAUCCCUGGCUCUCUCCUGUGCACUGUUGGUGUGAAAGUUGGCUGAGUGUGUGUGUGUGUGUGGCAUUUAGUUCAGUGUCUCACAGGUAGCAGAGAUGCUUAGUUCUGGAUGUUACUCCCCAUUUCUCUGCAGAGGGUAGGGAAGAGGACACAGUCAAAGACACAGCAAGACAUUAGAGUGCCAUCACUAACUGUUACUGGAGUGAUUUUUAUUUCCUCUUUUGAGUUCUCCCUGUUAGUACCAGGACACUCCAAGCCCCGGCCUAACUAUAUGACCCUUGACCUGCAUUGCCAGGCCAACGACCCUCAAUUCCACAACCCACUUGGCUUAGUUCCUCACUGGUGUGACAUCAUUUUCUGUAUAAAUUAGGGGAUCAUCCCCUCCUCUCUCUCUUUUUCUUCUCUUUCUUCUCUCCCCCCCCUCUCUCUUUUUCCUUUUCUCUGCCCUUCUACCCGCUUCGCCGCCCCUCUACCUCUGCACAAUAAACCUCUCCCACGUGGAACCACCUUGGCCUGGUCUGCUGUUUGGUUUAUCCACCCAAUGUAUAUAUAUUGGGUGGAUAAACCAAAAGCAAAAAAAAAA